AACGAACGCUGGCGGCGCGUCUUAAGCAUGCAAGUCGAACGGCAAGAGAGGAGCUUGCUUCUCUCCUAGAGUGGCGGACUGGUGAGGAACACGUGGGUAAUCUACCCUUAAGAUGGGGAUAGCUGCUAGAAAUAGCAGGUAAUACCGAAUACACUCGGCACAUCACAAGAGGUGUUGAGGAAAGGAAGCUACGGCUUCGCUUGAGGAUGAGCUUGCGUCCCAUUAGCUAGUUGGUGAGGUAAAGGCCCACCAAGGCGACGAUGGGUAUCCGGCCUGAGAGGGUGAACGGACACAUUGGGACUGAGAUACGGCCCAAACUCCUACGGGAGGCAGCAGCUAAGAAUAUUCCGCAAUGGACGGAAGUCUGACGGAGCGACGCCGCGUGGAUGAAGAAGGCUGAAAAGUUGUAAAAUCCUUUUGUUGAUGAAGAAUAAGGGUGAGAGGGAAUGCUCAUCUGAUGACGGUAAUCGACGAAUAAGCCCCGGCUAAUUACGUG
rnacentral:rRNA from 1 species